UGAAUAGUCUACCUGUGUUUGCAGUGCUCGAGCAAUGGCGACAGGCUGGUGGUAGGCUGAAACGAGAGACUGCGGCAAAGAACAAAACUGUCGAUGGCAGGGAGGCCAGCCGGGAGCUCAGCUGUGGAUGACCGUGUCAUCGACGGCGGCGGCACGACGGCGGCGCGGCGCGGCCGAGCCAGACCAGAGCCCGGGCGCUCCCCGGCGACGGCGGCGCGGCCGUCAACCUCGCCGUCUCCGAGCGCUGCAGGAUCUCCCACAUCACCUGCACGUCCUCGUACGCGCACGUCUGGAUGUCUUCGUGCAGCUUCACCAGGACGCCGCGUCCAUCUGACGAACAACAAAAUUCAGAAUUGGAUCCAUGCGGAAAGCAAAUCCUAGACCGGAUUUGGUGCUCCUGUCGUGUCCUUCACUCGCACGUGCUCCAUGCGCGCACAUACACACCUGGCAUUAAUCAUCAUUGCGGUGCUAAGCUAAUCAAGGCAGUUUGUAUACAGUUAUGGUUAAUCGAGCAUGGGCGCCCUUUGUUAAUCAUGGCCAUGGGUCGGAAAUCUAUGUGCAUAAGCAUGCCACGUAGACGCUUCUAGAAGGCAAAGUGGUGAGCUGACUGCAGGGCUAGUGUCCGUCCAAACUCCAAGGCCAAGAAAGUGGCAGGGGCGGUUACUUGGUGAGUGUAUCAUCCUCUCCAUGCAUACGUACUGCAGGUGUCACUCACACUCUGCCUAGUUUGUCUGGUUUCUCUACCAAUGUGUGUAAACAGGAAUAUUUACACACCUUUUU